UGGAAAUGUGCAAGAGGGAUGAAGCUGUGAGUGUCCUUACUGGCAUUUAUCAAAACCUUUGGGAAAAAUAAGAAAACCAUACAAAAAGGAUUUUUAUAUAUAUAUUUGUGUGUGUGUGUGUGUGUGUGUGUGUGUGUGUGUUCAU
rnacentral:sRNA from 14 species